AUUAGUGCAGUGAUGAAGCAAUAUUGUGGACUAGAGUUUCUGAUAUUGGGCUCUUCUUCCCAUUUUAUUUUGACGACAAACCCUUGGCUGUCUGAGCACUAUACCUUUCAUCUUAUUCAUAAGUUUUUCAACUCAGAGUUUAUUGUUUUUAAAAUUAGGUUGAGGGCUAAUGAUGAGAAAUACAAUUAUCUUAGUGGAUUUCAGUGAGAUUACUUGUAAUCAAUGAUCUGAUUGUUACACACACUGAAGCUCUUAGUAAUUUUUUUUAAUAAAAUGGGAUGUAAAUAAUAAUAAUAAUAAUAGCAGUGAUGAGGCAAAACACAUGAGGAUGUGUUUAGGGAAGUGGACAAUACAAUGGAAGUUGUGUUGCCGUGAUCCCCAAUUUAAACGACUUCUCCUUCCACUGAGCUUU
rnacentral:lncRNA from 1 species